rnacentral:rRNA from 1 species
UACGUAGGGUGCAAGCGUUGUCCGGAAUUAUUGGGCGUAAAGAGCUUGUAGGCGGUUUGUCGCGUCUGCUGUGAAAUUUCGGGGCUCAACCCCGAACUUGCAGUGGGUACGGGCAGACUAGAGUGUGGUAGGGGAGACUGGAAUUCCUGGUGUAGCGGUGAAAUGCGCAGAUAUCAGGAGGAACACCGAUGGCGAAGGCAGGUCUCUGGGCCAUAACUGACGCUGAGAAGCGAAAAGCAUGGGGAGCGAAACAGG